AACGCGAAGAACCUUACCUGGGCUCGAAAUGUAGAGGACAGCAUCAGAGAUGAUGCGUCUCGAAAGGGUCUUUACAUAGGUGCUGCAUGGCUGUCGUCAGCUCGUGCCGUGAGGUGUUUGGUUAAGUCCAGCAACGAGCGCAACCCUUAUCGUUAGUUGCCAACGCGUGAAGGCGGGAACUCUAACGAGACUGCCUGGGUUAACCAGGAGGAAGGUGAGGAUGACGUCAAGUCCGCAUGGCCUUUAUGUCCAGGGCUACACACGUGCUACAAUGGUCGGUACAGAAGGCGGCGAAACCGCAAGGCGAAGCAAAUCCUUUAAAACCGAUCUCAGUUCAGAUUGUAGACUGCAACUCGUCUACAUGAAGUUGGAAUUGCUAGUAAUGGCGUGUCAGCAACAACGCCGUGAAUACGUUCCCGGGCCUUGUA
rnacentral:rRNA from 1 species